rnacentral:rRNA from 1 species
UACGAAGGGUGCAAGCGUUUAAUCGGAAUUACUGGGCGUAAAGCGUGUGUAGGCGGUUUCUUAAGUCUGCUGUGAAAUCCCCGGGCUCAACCUGGGAAUGGCAAGUGGAUACUGGGAAGCUAGAGUGUGAUAGAGGAUGGUGGAAUUCCCGGUGUAGCGGUGAAAUGCGUAGAGAUCGGGAGGAACAUCAGUGGCGAAGGCGGCCUUCUGGACUGACACUGACGCUGAGGCGCGAAAGCCAGGGGAGCAAACGGG